GAAACAUCUUCGGGUUGUGAGGUUAAGCGACUAAGCGUACACGGUGGAUGCCCUGGCAGUCAGAGGCGAUGAAGGACGUGCUAAUCUGCGAUAAGCGUCGGUGAGGUGAUAUGAACCGUUAUAACCGGCGAUUUCCGAAUGGGGAAACCCAGUGUGAUUCGUCACACUAUCAUUAACUGAAUCCAUAGGUUAAUGAGGCGAACCGGGGGAACUGAAACAUCUAAGUACCCCGAGGAAAAGAAAUCAACCGAGAUUCCCCCAGUAGCGGCGAGCGAACGGGGAGGAGCCCAGAGCCUGAAUCAGUGUGUGUGUUAGUGGAAGCGUCUGGAAAGGCGCGCGAUACAGGGUGACAGCCCCGUACACAAAAAUGCACAUAUUGUGAGCUCGAUGAGUAGGGCGGGACACGUGGUAUCCUGUCUGAAUAUGGGGGGACCAUCCUCCAAGGCUAAAUACUCCUGACUGACCGAUAGUGAACCAGUACCGUGAGGGAAAGGCGAAAAGAACCCCGGCGAGGGGAGUGAAAAAGAACCUGAAACCGUGUACGUACAAGCAGUGGGAGCCUCUUAAUGGGGUGACUGCGUACCUUUUGUAUAAUGGGUCAGCGACUUAUAUUCUGUAGCAAGGUUAACCGAAUAGGGGAGCCGAAGGGAAACCGAGUCUUAACUGGGCGUUAAGUUGCAGGGUAUAGACCCGAAACCCGGUGAUCUAGCCAUGGGCAGGUUGAAGGUUGGGUAACACUAACUGGAGGACCGAACCGACUAAUGUUGAAAAAUUAGCGGAUGACUUGUGGCUGGGGGUGAAAGGCCAAUCAAACCGGGAGAUAGCUGGUUCUCCCCGAAAGCUAUUUAGGUAGCGCCUCGUGAAUUCAUCUCCGGGGGUAGAGCACUGUUUCGGCAAGGGGGUCAUCCCGACUUACCAACCCGAUGCAAACUGCGAAUACCGGAGAAUGUUAUCACGGGAGACACACGGCGGGUGCUAACGUCCGUCGUGAAGAGGGAAACAACCCAGACCGCCAGCUAAGGUCCCAAAGUCAUGGUUAAGUGGGAAACGAUGUGGGAAGGCCCAGACAGCCAGGAUGUUGGCUUAGAAGCAGCCAUCAUUUAAAGAAAGCGUAAUAGCUCACUGGUCGAGUCGGCCUGCGCGGAAGAUGUAACGGGGCUAAACCAUGCACCGAAGCUGCGGCAGCGACACUAUGUGUUGUUGGGUAGGGGAGCGUUCUGUAAGCCUGUGAAGGUGGCCUGUGAGGGUUGCUGGAGGUAUCAGAAGUGCGAAUGCUGACAUAAGUAACGAUAAAGCGGGUGAAAAACCCGCUCGCCGGAAGACCAAGGGUUCCUGUCCAACGUUAAUCGGGGCAGGGUGAGUCGACCCCUAAGGCGAGGCCGAAAGGCGUAGUCGAUGGGAAACAGGUUAAUAUUCCUGUACUUGGUGUUACUGCGAAGGGGGGACGGAGAAGGCUAUGUUGGCCGGGCGACGGUUGUCCCGGUUUAAGCGUGUAGGCUGGUUUUCCAGGCAAAUCCGGAAAAUCAAGGCUGAGGCGUGAUGACGAGGCACUACGGUGCUGAAGCGACAAAUGCCCUGCUUCCAGGAAAAGCCUCUAAGCAUCAGGUAACAUCAAAUCGUACCCCAAACCGACACAGGUGGUCAGGUAGAGAAUACCAAGGCGCUUGAGAGAACUCGGGUGAAGGAACUAGGCAAAAUGGUGCCGUAACUUCGGGAGAAGGCACGCUGAUAUGUAGGUGAAGCGACUUGCUCGUGGAGCUGAAAUCAGUCGAAGAUACCAGCUGGCUGCAACUGUUUAUUAAAAACACAGCACUGUGCAAACACGAAAGUGGACGUAUACGGUGUGACGCCUGCCCGGUGCCGGAAGGUUAAUUGAUGGGGUUAGCGGCAACGCGAAGCUCUUGAUCGAAGCCCCGGUAAACGGCGGCCGUAACUAUAACGGUCCUAAGGUAGCGAAAUUCCUUGUCGGGUAAGUUCCGACCUGCACGAAUGGCGUAAUGAUGGCCAGGCUGUCUCCACCCGAGACUCAGUGAAAUUGAACUCGCUGUGAAGAUGCAGUGUACCCGCGGCAAGACGGAAAGACCCCGUGAACCUUUACUAUAGCUUGACACUGAACAUUGAGCCUUGAUGUGUAGGAUAGGUGGGAGGCUUUGAAGUGUGGACGCCAGUCUGCAUGGAGCCGACCUUGAAAUACCACCCUUUAAUGUUUGAUGUUCUAACGUGGGCCCGUAAUCCGGGUUGCGGACAGUGUCUGGUGGGUAGUUUGACUGGGGCGGUCUCCUCCUAAAGAGUAACGGAGGAGCACGAAGGUUGGCUAAUCCUGGUCGGACAUCAGGAGGUUAGUGCAAUGGCAUAAGCCAGCUUGACUGCGAGCGUGACGGCGCGAGCAGGUGCGAAAGCAGGUCAUAGUGAUCCGGUGGUUCUGAAUGGAAGGGCCAUCGCUCAACGGAUAAAAGGUACUCCGGGGAUAACAGGCUGAUACCGCCCAAGAGUUCAUAUCGACGGCGGUGUUUGGCACCUCGAUGUCGGCUCAUCACAUCCUGGGGCUGAAGUAGGUCCCAAGGGUAUGGCUGUUCGCCAUUUAAAGUGGUACGCGAGCUGGGUUUAGAACGUCGUGAGACAGUUCGGUCCCUAUCUGCCGUGGGCGCUGGAGAACUGAGGGGGGCUGCUCCUAGUACGAGAGGACCGGAGUGGACGCAUCACUGGUGUUCGGGUUGUCAUGCCAAUGGCACUGCCCGGUAGCUAAAUGCGGAAGAGAUAAGUGCUGAAAGCAUCUAAGCACGAAACUUGCCCCGAGAUGAGUUCUCCCUGACCCUUUAAGGGUCCUGAAGGAACGUUGAAGACGACGACGUUGAUAGGCCGGGUGUGUAAGCGCAGCGAUGCGUUGAGCUAACCGGUACUAAUGAACCGUGAGGCUUAACCUU
rnacentral:rRNA from 1 species